CCCAAUGACAUGCACGUGACUGUGCCACUUUGCCCACGAGGGAAGUGAGGCUCGCAGAGGUAAACUGAAUUGUCCACGGUUACACAAGCUUGAAGCAGACCUGUGAUCCUCAGGCUGCCAACGCCUCCUCCAUCACUGCCGUGGCAGGCAUCACUAAUCGAUCAUGACCCUCUUUCAGACUGACACCAGCCCUUGUCCUGCGGUCUUUCCCAGCACGGCAUUCUGGGAGGCCAUACAACCAGUCAGAAUUCGUGGAUUAAGUGUGCCCUUCCUGCUACCGCCUAAUAGGUAUUUAAGGAAGUGGUCAGCUUGCCCUCAUCAACCUUCAUAAGCCUCUUCAUCCAGACUGUACGUGUUCACGUCCAUCAUGAGUCCAUGUGGCAGGUCUGGGACCAAAUCUCUGCAUCCUCAGUGAGAGAACAUGAUCGUCACACUGUCAGGAAAGCUGACGCAUCAAGAAUAGAAGGGCGAGCUUCUGCUUCUGCGCACGAGGGGGUAAUAGCUGGCGACAGACCGUCUCUCCCACGGACAGCAGCACGGGAGCUGAGGUCACAUGCAAACCCUCUGCUUUUGAACCAAAGUACAGGAAUCUAAAUGCAUCCUUAUCCUAUUUUUAUUUAUGUAUUUGCUUUGAGAGAGACAGAGUGUGAGCGAGGGAGGGGCAGAGAAACAGGGAGAAUCCCAAGCAGGCUCCGCGCUGUCAGCACAGAGCCCACACAGGGCUCCAACUCACGACACUGUGAGGUCAUGACCUGAGCCGAAACCGCGAGUCAGCUGCUUAACCGACUGAGCCACCCAGGCGCCCCUACCCUGUUAUUUUUUGUUAGCAGUUUCAACUCUUUUUAGACUUUCGAGAUCGCCGUGAACCCCGCAGCCCAUGAAUCAGCCGUCCUCUCCCAAUCUGGGUCACCCGUGAACUUCCUCUGCCGCAGACCCAAAAUGCAAAAAUAAAACAAAAAAGCACGCAAACUGAAAACCCAGGGAGGGGACUGGGAGACGAGCCCCGUCUCAGGCCAGCGGACUGUCCGAGGUAACGCGGGCAAGGGUGAGGACCCUGCCGCUUCCCCUGGCGCUGCUCACCCCAGGCGUCCACACACCGCUGCCAGUUCUCAGGACCAACCCCGACUUCCCAGUGCCCGAAUCACUUCACUGAAGGAGCCAGUGGAUAAGGUGCUUUAUGUUUGAGGCUCCUGGCUUAGCAGCACCCGGCUGA